UCUCAGAUCUCAAUCCCGGCGAGUGCGGGCAUCACUGAAGACUUGACACCGGCUGAAUCGGACGUCCACUGUCCUCGGCAGAAUUAACCAGGUGUUCUCUCAUGCAAACUUUAUCGCCAUCAGAUGAAGCUGAUCAUCCUGUCGAUGGCAACGAGUCCGCUUCGCCGCAGGGACAGACUUUUUUCCGCGCCCAAACGACCGAAGAGGCGCGGAUCCGAGACAAUAACGCCCAGAAGUUAUUGAAAUGAAUCGAGCUGGCGUGUGAAGAAAAAAACUGAACGAGUGCUAACAGCCUUAGCCUUCGUCGCAGAGGGAAGAAAAGGGGAAGCUGAAGAGCAAAUGAGGAAAAGACGAGCGAUGAAAGAGAGGUCCAGACAUGAAAGACGCAUGCAUUCACAGACACGCAUUCAAAGGCACCUAGAGUCUGUCUGCGAUCUACCACCUCCCUGCCACACACACACACACACGCCUGUUACGGGCAGCAGAUAAAGAGGGAUAUGCCAUUCCAGCUGUGAGGAGACAGAAGAAGUCAACAUACACACUCACACACACACACACACACACACACAGAGCCGCGGGCGCGUGAGCAGGUGAGCAUUAAGUCAGGCAGCUAAACAGAUCACGUCGCGGUAUGAUAUCUGCAGACAGGCAGACAGAGCAGGCCGGUCUGUACCUGCAGGCAGAGAGCAACAACUCACAGCACACUCGCCAGGAAUUUCCUCCCCCUCCUGAGAAGAGAGAGAGAGAGGGAGGGAGGGAGGGAGUGGGAGAGUGAAGGAGAGACAGACAGGCAGACAUAAGCUGGAGUUUCGGCUGAAGUGUUUUACGCAAACCAAAGUAAAAGCCUGAUUACAAACUGGCAGGCAAAUAUUAGAUUUCAGAUACCUUCUAUGUGACAAGUUUUCAUAUUCAACCCAGUUCAUGAUGGGAAGAACUGCUUAUCUUUGUACUUUCUCACCAAGCAAAGGUUUGCUUUUGCGUUCCUAAAAUGAUUGUUAUGGAGUGAUAAUAAUAUUAGGCUACACCAAAGUGAGAUAAACCCAAUAUGCACCCUCCUUUGGUGGCAUUGUUAGCCCAUCAUUCUCCCUUCACCUCAGCUGAUGAAAGGACAUCUCUUUGUCUUUAUUAAAGAAAUGCAGAUUCACACAGCAUUGUAAUAUCGAGAACAGACGGUUCUUUUGUUGUUUUUCAGAGUAAUUCGAUCACCGUCAGUAUGAUUUGUCAUUCUGGAAUGACGAGGGUGUUUCGAAAGUGUCCGCCAUACUAAUGGAUACUAACAGUAUCCGUUACACAAACGUGUUCUGCUGCUAGUAUUGUAUUGUUAGCUCUCCUUGGAGAGGCUUUGACAUUUUUAUUUUUUUAAAGCUUUCAUUCAUUUACAAUCUGCUCAGCAUAUGUGGCCGUUAUCUGUGGUGUCAGGAAUCACAUUCAAAGUAAUUACCUCUUUGGGGGAGGCCUGUUUCAGUUUUGGUUUUCUACUGAGCAGCAUUUCUCUGAAUUACUGUGGGUUAUGCUGUUGCUCAAGAAAACCUUAACUAUAGUUACUGAAUAAGGGAGAGCUAUCAAGGUCAAAUCUCCUGCAUAGAUUUUCCUACUGCUUCCCUUCUCUUCCAUAUACCCUUGAAUUGAAGUAAUUUCACCCAUUAGACAGAUUGUCCACGUUCUGUCAUCACUUAUAUUCUGUAGCUGAGGUUUUUUCUUUUCUUUUACAAAGCUCUUUAUAUUCAGGCAUAGAAACGCCUCCUGAAAUUUGUACAAGUCACAACUCUCCCCACACAAACUACCACAUCCACUUAUCUAAAAAUGAUUCAGUGGUUAAAUGCCAGAGCUGUCUGUGCCAUUAAGGCCAGCCUGUUUGAAGGAAGGACACCCUUGCAUGCCCUCUCCCUCCUCCUUGCUGUCUCUUCGUAUUCCUCUCACUCCUUCUUCUCUCCCUUAGCUGCCCCGCCAUCCCUUCCGUCCCCUCCCUAUCUUCUCCACCUCACACCCACCCAACCCAGGCUGGUUUGAGGGCUGAUGUGCAGACCUUGUCAUUCAAAUUAGGGCCACAUUGUCAGCUCAGGGCCCUUGUCUCUCUAGUUGCGUGUCUGGAUCUUUCUUCCCACUGUCACCCUCGUCCUGCGGCCAGAGAAGACCUUAUAAAGCAACAUUACUUCUCAUCCACUUCUGUCAAUUCCAACUCUGUCACUCAAAUCACUGUUCGCGAGAGUGGAGAGAGGCAGAGUUAGUGGUGUCCCUCGCAGCAAGGACUGUGCUUUUUGGCCCAAGCUUUGGGUGAUGUGUCAACAGCUAGCAAACUGGAUUUUGAUUGAGGUAUUUUCAGUUAGGAUCAUUUUUAGUUUUUUGCUCACAAAUGUCGAGCUUUUCAGAGGACUGACAAAGUAGAAGCAGCUCUCGUGAUCCAAAGGAGAGAAGAGAAGCAGCACACUCAUUGCUGUCAGACAUAUAGUAGCAAUUCAAGUCUUUAGAAAUCUUCAGAUUUAGUACUCAAUGUGUUUUGCUUUAUAGUAAAAGGCAAUCAGAGUCAUUAUGUUAUUUUUAACUCUGUUUUCUAUAUAAAAUGACUGUUUGGCAGGGCAUGAGGUAUCCACCACAUCAUCUUAAUCACUUAAGAAAAGAGUUUGAGAGCCGUAUUUAUCAUCCAACCACAUCUUGACUCACUGCCACAGUUUUAUUGUCAAGUCGUAUCUAAUUGCUACAGCAGCUCUUUGGCAUUUGAUUUUUUCUGCUCACAAACUGCGGUUUUCUUUUUCUCAUCAUGAGCAACAAUGAUUCAGCAGUGUGUAACACAACCUUCGUAGAAGUUGGUGGACAGUUUCCUUACUGGUAUUGGUGCAAGCAGAAGAAAAAACAUCCUAGUCUUCAACCAAAGUGCCACAUCAUAGCGAAAAAAACAGACGUUAUUGAUCUGGAUGAGUCGACAGUUUCAUACCCGAUACUCUUCUUCAUCCUCUACUUUGCACGAAGCCCUCAAGGCAUGUUGGGCCCUCUCUAGAGGCUGUGCCGCUGUGCUUCAAUCCAGGCGACUAGCUGCAACCUCCGCCCAGGUGCUGCGUUAACUAAAAGCCCGCUAUGAGUCAGGAGUUUCAAGAUGACUUCCCUCUUCUAACUGCUACUUGCAGUGAAGUAAAAUGUGUUCCCACACAGUGACACUGUAUUUGGUGCCAUAAUGACCAUGAGUCAUGGAAGUUAAUAGUGCAUAUAGCACUCGAGCCCAUUGCAGUAUUUAAGAAGAGGUGGGCCAAAGCCAGUUCUGCUUCUUUUUGAUGCAAGGGUCUAUGGUAGAGGUCAGCACAGGGGAUGUAAAUAAACUGCAUUUUACACACACACACACAUAGACAUGAAUCCCUUUUCAUGUCUCUUAUUCUCAGGUACAGUAUGUGAAUGGCCAACACCAGGUCCAAAGAAUGAGGACAAAAAGCACUGUUAGAUGUUCAUGAUGUAUGCAUGUGUAUACAUAUAUUUAUCAUCAAGUGUUGUAAUAUUCUAUUUAGCGGUCUGUAGUUAUCUAAUAAGCUCGGAUGGAAAAGAUAGCAUAAUCAAAGUAUGGUAAAACACAAAUGACUUUUUCAGUGUCCUUCCUGCUCCGAGCAUGACAGAGUGUUUGAGCGAGAGAGGGUGAGAGUUAGAAGCCUCCUGCCCACAGAGAAGACUUGCUCCCUCUGCAUCUCUAAGCAGACUGUCAUCCCUGGUCACCAUCAGGUCUGUGGUCGCCCCAGUGAACAUUCAACGCUGUCGGUGAGUUUCGGCUAAAUUGAAAAAACCAUCGACCGUUGAUUGUGCCCUGUGGCCAGCCAUUUUCACUCGGUGUCUCCAAAAAAGAAGGAAAAAGAGGUAAAACCCAUGCAGAAACCUGCACACAGGCAUGACCAAUGACUUCUUGAAAAACCACAUGAAGAGCACAGCAUACAUCCUUGACAAACGAAAACGAAAAAUACUUUCAACUUCCAAACCCACAGCAAAGGUCACAAUCAACAUUCAUUGCUGUCGGUGGGUUUAACUGUGUAGAAGAGCUCGCUGAACAAUGAAUGCAACUGUGUCCCAGAUUUCAUCCGAACGUCACAAGGAAUAGCGUCACGAUAUGCUGAUGAUGGCAUUAUUUAUUCUUCUGCCUGUCUCCCCCCCUUCGCAUCUGCCCAAAAACAGGCACACACAGGCAGUGUGAAUCGACUAGCAGUUCAGAUUGCAUUUCAAUCACCCUUGCUGAGAUGUAGGGGCUCGAGUCUGGCUUCAGAAGAGGAGAAAGAAGAAUAUAGAUGCAAGGGAUAGUUCAAAGAAAGUUACCUUUGAAGCAUCUAUGGUCUGAUAAAAGAUGUAGUUUCUGUAAUGAUUACCAAACAAAUACACAGCAAAAAUAUGUUAUAUAUGAAUAGAUGCUUUCUAAAAUGAUGGGUGGCCUUUUUCAAACUAUUGUUCAAGAUAACACUAUCAGCUAAACCCCUCAGGUUUCAUCUAAAUAUACUAGUAAUAAUCAGUUUGGUUGAACAGAUACUUUAAACACUAUCAAAUGGUAAGUAAUUUUACCAUCAGCUGUUUAUUUAAUGUGAAAUAAAAUCUAAACUGCCUGCUAUUUGUAUUGUUGUAUUUGAUCAAAUAAAGUCACUAGUUCAGUCUUCAA